GACGAACGCUGGCGGCGUGCUUAACACAUGCAAGUCGAACGGAAAGGCCCUGCUUUUGUGGGGUGCUCGAGUGGCGAACGGGGGAGUAACACGUGAGUAACCUGCCCUUGACUUUGGGAUAACUUCAGGAAACUGGGGCUAAUACCGGAUAGGAUCUCCUGCUGCAUGGUGGGGGUUGGAAAGUUUCGGCGGUUGGGGAUGGACUCGCGGCUUAUCAGCUUGUUGGUGGGGUAGUGGCUUACCAAGGCUUUGACGGGUAGCCGGCCUGAGAGGGUGACCGGCCACAUUGGGACUGAGAUACGGCCCAGACUCCUACGGGAGGCAGCAGUGGGGAAUAUUGCACAAUGGGCGGAAGCCUGAUGCAGCAACGCCGCGUGCGGGAUGACGGCCUUCGGGUUGUAAACCGCUUUCGCCUGUGACGAAGCGUGAGUGACGGUAAUGGGUAAAGAAGCACCGGCUAACUACGUG
rnacentral:rRNA from 1 species